GGAACAAGAGCCAUCAAAUGGCUAUAAAAAGGCAGCAAAAUGAGGGUUCAUUUUCACCCUUCAAAGCAAGGUUUUGGUGGCUCCAUUUGAUACAAAUAGGGGGCUAAGGGAGGAGAAUGAGGAAGGUAUUGAAAAAGGGGUGGCGGCAGAAAGAAAGAAAGAAACAGAGAAAACGAGAGAGAAAAGAGGGAAGAAAAAGAAAAAUUUUGCUGAAAAAUCUCCGACCAGGCUGGCUGACUAGCCUCUUUCCUAAUCAAUUUUCGACUUGUUUUUGAACCUUUUUGAGUGAUUUGUUUUUUUCUGCACUAUCACCAGAUGUGACAGAACAAAUUUUGUUUUGAAAACAUUAUGAAAAAACAUCCCCAGUCCUUUCGAAUUGUAGUACAAACUCUUGACCUUGUCACUGCUGAAAUUUCUGCAACAAAGGUCCUGGCUUCCAGAUUUCAGCUUUGAAUCACACUCUCCUCAGAUUUCCUACGUUUAUUUGGGUAUCUUCAAACAUCAAAGGUAACUCUUAAUCUUUCCCUUGCUUGCUGCAAUCCACAUGCAAAAAGAAUUAAACUCAUUAAACAGGAACCUUGUCAGAUUAUUGCUUCAUGAGUUUUUGCACUAGCCUUAUGCGUAUUGUUGGGUCUGAUGCAUCUUAUUAAAAGAUGACAAAGCUGUCAAGUUAACGUAAAGGCCAUCAGUGAUUUUUUUAUCUCUGCAAGUUUUGCAGCUCAUGAUCUGAGUCAUGUUUUCGGGG
rnacentral:lncRNA from 1 species